AAGGAGUUAGUUAAAAAUAACGUUAGAAUGUCAAUCUAAAAUAACUAAUUAAUUAGUACACCUUG
rnacentral:tRNA from 2 species